ACGUAGGGUGCGAGCGUUGUCCGGAAUUAUUGGGCGUAAAGAGCUUGUAGGUGGUUUGUCGCGUCUGCUGUGAAAAUCCGAGGCUCAACCUCGGACUUGCAGUGGGUACGGGCAGACUAGAGUGUGGUAGGGGAGACUGGAAUUCCUGGUGUAGCGGUGGAAUGCGCAGAUAUCAGGAGGAACACCGGUGGCGAAGGCGGCAUCCUGGACCGGCAUUGACGCUGAGGAGCGAAAGCCAGGGGAGCAAACGGGA
rnacentral:rRNA from 1 species